UUUUCCUGUGUUUCGAUUAGUACUUUUAGUUCUCGAAAACUUCUGCUGAUUACUGUCUCCAUAAUAUGGCUCAACCUUACGUCAGUGGCCUUCACCCGUUCCAAAAUUUCCUGCUGCUUGCUUGCAAUAAGUGUAACACUAUCUAUUAUUAUGCAUUGCAAUGUCAGAUAGACGUGACUAAAAAAUGUUAUACUCACUUUCAGCAAGAGUAGAUAUUUGCUCUGACUGAGACCUCCGUGAUUGCACAUCACUGAGCCCUGUAUAUAAUAGCAAAACAUCAGUAAAUAGCAUGAUUUAUAUAGUUUACCAUCUCCACUGCUUCUUCUCUGAGCCAGCACAUCGACGGUAGCAUCAUCCCCAUUACCGGAUGCACCUCCAUCAGUACGACUUGGCACUGAACCACCUGCAACAUGUAGGAUGAGCAAUUUUUCAGAUUAUAGGUCAUUAAUAUAACUUAAUCAAACUCACUCCUGUGGGGGGUUCUGAGUGUUGUAACAGGACGGGGAGUGUUCCAUGAGCUUGUACUUAUUCUACCUCGUGCAGAUAGCAAGCGAGACAUGAUCACAUCGAUCUAAUAGAGUCAAAUCUCAUGAAUUUGUCAGCGGAUCUCUUCUUCCAGUCUCGGUCACUGCGCAAUGGUGGCCAAUGUGCGCGCUCACGUGGAUAGAUCUAAGGCACGUGAAUUCUUAUUUUUGAAUAAAGAAGUAAAGCACUUUUGUUGAGGUUCCCCUUAAUUGCAGCUUGGAAGGUUCAAUUAACACAAUAUGGCAACAUCAAUAGGUACAUACAAUGUGUCUAAUACUCUGUAUUAAUUAUCAUAAUUACUAAGGUGCAAAUUGGUGCGAAGUGUGCCAAAUAGACUGCUCAUUUAAGUCUCGUUAUGAGAGGCAUCUAAAGACAAUGAAGCACAAGCAUCAAGCUUCAAUUCAUUCCUUAAUGGCGGAUGUUGAUGAUGGUGGUAUCCAGGAUGACUCGGACGAUCAGGGAGGGCAUGUAGAAUGUGAUGAUGACUUUCAGGUUCUACCUGAUGAAGAUUAUAACGAUGAUGACGAUGAUGGUGAGGAUACAGAGGAUGAGUUAUAUGACACACUGCAAGAUACUAUUCAAGUUGUGUGCAAUGCUUCAUCGUCCUCUGAUUCGUAUUCUCCAUUCCCAUCGAAACAACAUGCUUUACUCUAUCUUUUGCUUCACUGUCCACGACCGAUUGUGAGUUGUUUGUAAGCAUCUACCAUUGUACUUGUUAUGUGUUAUAGGGAGAAACAAACUUAAAAUUCGUUUGGUUUGCAAUGAUUCAGAAGCAGAUGAACCCUUGUUUGCCAUCGAUACAUCAAAUAAAGCAACUUGUUUUGCCUGUUUUUGAGCCCCCAACGAAGUAUUAUUCAUCUGAUGGGACACCCUUUUAUGCAAAUUCAAUGAUGGCAACAAUACGUCAUUGCUUCGCUAAUCCAUUGUUUGCAAGUGUAGUCCAGAGGUAUCCAGUUCAGCCUGACAUGGAGUUGAUGGAAAUGUAUCAUGGAGAGCGCUGGAGAACAGACCCAAAACUUCAAACCCCUAUGGCUGUUUUGCCUGUGGGUCACGUGUUUGUCAACGACUUUGUUAUAGUCUCACAUCCACACUUUGGAAGUAUAUGUGUGAAGGUUCACAGAUUUUACUGCAAGGGUUCUGAGUUGCAUAUCCAAGCACAUAUAUUGCUUACAUGCACUGGACCAAUUAAAAAUAGCAUUCACAUCAG